rnacentral:rRNA from 1 species
UACAGAGGUCUCAAGCGUUGUUCGGAUUCAUUGGGCGUAAAGGGUGUGUAGGUGGCGCCGUAAGUCGGGUGUGAAAUUUCGGAGCUUAACUCCGAAACUGCAUUCGAUACUGCGGUGCUUGAGGACUGGAGAGGAGACUGGAAUUCAUGGUGUAACAGUGAAAUGCGUAGAGAUCAUGAGGAAGACCAGUGGCGAAGGCGGGUCU